GCUCUGUUUUACCGAUCGCACUUGAAUUGUCAGUCGGUAAGUUUCUAUUUGUUAGCCGGUAAUCUCGUAUUAGCAGUCGGUAAGCUCUGUUUACCGACUGUAAAUCGUUUUUGAGCUCAUUAUCAGUUACUUUUUGAGCUUAUGGCAACCAUUUUGAGCUCAUAAUAUAGCUCUGCCGGUUAAAUUGGCUAGAGGUCACGUAAAAUCUAUUCUGAGCGGGAAAUUUUGAAAUAAAAUAGACUUUGUGAUGGCGCUCAAGGCUGACGAUUUCCAGUCUAUCAGCUUUGAGCGUCAUCACGAGGUACAUCUACACCUCCAUGCGGUUUUAUACAUUGAAACUGGGGUGUGUAAGGGUACAUGCGAGAAGCUUGUGAAGUGCACGCCGUCUAUUGGAUUAAUUCCCUCAUUUUUUUUUUUAAUAUGGCGUCAUCUGACAGGCCUGGACUUGUUUUUCUUUGAUUAUGACGUCAUCUAACAGGCUUGAACUUGUUUUCUUUUGUUUGUGACGUUAUUCGACAAGUUUGAACUUGUUUCAUGGUUUGGGGUGAGGGAUACUGGUCUAAGGGCUGAGCUCGAGAGCUCGUAUCCAGUCAGUCUACGCUGAGAAGAGUUGAAGUGAACAGUUUGCGUGCCAGACCUUGUAUUUAUGGCUGAAUUAACUGAAAGUGAAAAGAUUUUGUUUCGUCAUAAUUACCCUUUUGCGAAAAGUUUUGAAGAUCUCAUUGAAGGGUUUUUUGGUGACGUGCCUCCUCCUGAGUCUAUCGGUAAAUUUAUUGACGAUAUAAUUGCGUUCGAUUAGAAGCAUCAUGUAUAAGCUGCCACGAUAAGAGAAUUUUGUCCAGAAGAUUAUCAAGAACUACUGAAAAGUUGGUGAAACUAGAAAAGCGUAUGGCAAAUAAAUAAUCACAAUGAGCCGUUCGUCAAGACCCCAUGUGUGUACGGAUGUAUGCUUUCAUGAUGCGCAGAUCGACUUCGAGGAUGUAAUGGACGACGACAACGUCAAUGAAUUUGAUCGUCAUAACGAAGAACGAGGAAGAUUAACAAAAUUGGCCGAACAAGAGAACGAAAUCGAUUUACAAGUGAAGCAUUCACAGAAAUUAUUACUCAGCUUCGAAGAUCGCCGCGAAUACGAACAGCCUUGCCAUACAACAACAUUCAUGUUAACCAAGCUAUUGUUUAAUGCUACUAAACAGCAUGGACCUAAUCAUCGAUUUUGUGAGUUUCAAGAUGCCUGGUGACAAAUUUGUGGUGAAAGAACGGUGCGCUAUUGAUAUUUAUGAUAAAGUGGGUACUUAUGGACUUGCACGAUGUGAACAUUGAUUGUUUGAACCACCUUUAGAUCACGUCGACGUUGCUGUAAUGCAGAAAAGGGUUGAUCACUGUGGACAUCAACAUUCAAUAUCAUGGAUAGCUGGCUUGCUACCAUAUGAAUUAUUGCAAGAAAUUCUUAAAAUUAUGGUCAAACAUGCACGAUACUUUUACGUACAAGGCGAAUGGAAGAAAAAAUUGCUUGAAGAUCUAAUGGACACUGCUGUACCAAUUAUUGACUUAAAAAAAAUGAUAUUUUUCUCACUCUAUCAAAAGAAUAAUUUCUUGAAACAUCUAUGUCCAUAUUAUGCUUAUCAUUUAAAGAAAUUGGAUACUCCAUGCGCAUUUCAAAAUAUCCAAGAGUUCAAGAGAUGGCUCUGGCAUUUUUAUGAAAUUCAACCAACCUACGAAAAGUCAGUUCAGAUCUUCAAUCAAUUGAAGAAUUUACUGUGUAUGGAUGAUUGAGAUAUCGCAUGUCUUGAUGAUACAUUUAUCCUUAAAAAUGCAGCCCAGCAAAUCGAUUUCGCUUGGCACACCUACCACAAGCAUUAAAAAAUAAUGGGAUCAUUAUACAUUCAACGAUGAUAUCCCCGAUAGCUUUGCAUAUCUAUUUAGAAGAGAUUCCUCUAACUGUAGUACAUUUUUUUAGUUGAAGAGAAAUAUCUAUAGUUUAUUAUGUAUUUGAGGUCAUGUACGACUAGAAUGUAUAUUUUUUUAGGUUAAGAAAAAAAUACUAUAGUUUAUGAUGUAUUUGAGGUUAUGUACGACUAAAAUGUAUAGUUUUAAGUUAAGAAUAAAGACUAUAGUUUAUGUAAGACUAAAAUGUAUAUGUUAAGUUAAAAAAAAUAUCUAUAGUUUAUUAUGUAUUUAAGGUUAUGUAAGACUUAAAUGUAUAUUUUAGGUUAUAAGUAAUAAAAAACACUAUAUAUCAAUAUAAAAAAUGUUUAUUCAUUUGUAAGUGUAAGUUUAUUAAUUAAUACAGGUUCAAUAAUUAUAUUUAGUUUAUUAAUUAUUUGUUUAAAUCGUUCUCGAUCUUUUGCUGAUUGUUCCCAUUCGCCUCUUCUUGCUUGCUCGUGUGCAAAUCUCCAUACAUACAUGUGAUGUAUGGUUGGUGUUGGAUUAAAUUUAACAGUCUUUAUAUUAGUUUUCGUACGAUGCUGCUUAUAUUAUUAUACUCGACUAUGCGAUCAUGUAUUAUGAGGCAGUAAGCUGAUAUCUGUGCAGGGAAUUGAUUUGCGGAUUUAAAUACCAGACGAAUAUCUACUGGUCCAGAUUUUAUCGAUUCGUUUUGUUUCGAGCAAGCGAUGACGUACAGCGGCGCUUGUUUCAAAAAUUUCUUCUUCGUUAGCAGUGGCUCAGGUUCUUUGUUGUAGUAUGAAGUUUGGAAAUCUAUAUACAUCUCGUACAACAGAGGAUAUUGAUUGUUUGCAAUGUUGAGGUUUAAAUUCCCAUAAGGAUAACUCUAAGAGUUUAAAAAUAAUUUUAUAUCUCUGAUGUUGCAAUGAUCAAAUACGCUGGCAUUUUUAGUUGCGUCAUUUUUUCUUGCUGUUUGAAAUCCAAGUAUCACAAAACCUGGUUUCUCCAGCUGCGUAGAAGUUUUAACUGCCCAAAUGUGCUUCGGAGUAUUUGGUAAUAGAGGAUACUCAUACAGCUCUCAAGCACGGAAACUGAUUGAGAUAGCUGAAUCACUUGUGAUAUAAUUCAAAGCUUCCAUUUUUUGUUUAUCAGCUAUAGUCACAUAUGGUACAAUCCACUCGAUUUUUUGCGGCGUAAUUUUAAAAGCUUCAGCAUGCGCUCCAGCAGCAGGUGUGGCCACAACGUAGGCAUUCAAAUCAGCAUUUUAAUUAAUAAUUAAUGCUUUGCAUUGAUGACAACGUUAUGGUAAUCUUCAGCAAAUCCAAGCAAAAAACUCAGUGGUAUAGAUACAUCAAAGUAGCCAUUGUCAUUGUGUAAUUUGUUGACAGCGUUAUUCAUAAUCCAGCCUGAGUUCUCGAGUGUAUUUUGUCGAGCAGGACUCAGUGAUGUGUAUCCUUUCAUGAGACUUGUGACACCGACAUUUUUAUUACGAUCAAUCUCAACACCAUUGAGUUCGUAGCGUAUUUCUUCAAACAUAUGACAGACUGUCAUGUUGACCAUGUGAGUAGUUGCACUUACAGCUGUACCAUCAGACUUUGUGAAUUUUCCGUACACAUGUAGUGUACUAUUACUUGGAAGUAGACACAAAUCUUGAUGUAGAACGGCAAUUCGUAUGUCAUCGCUGUUGUUGAAUGUUGAUGAAGCAUACGGGAGAUGAGCAUGCGCUUCAUAGUGCGCAAUUGACUCAUCAAAAUUAAUUUGUCAUUGAAAAUUCAAGAUUUCCGCCACCGCCAUGGUCGUGUACACGUCAAACAACAAAAACAAAUUUUUAUUUUUUUAAUUUUCCACGUAAUUUUAGUCCUAGGCUCGUAGAAAUUGAGCGUUCUGAUGUGUUAACACCUUGUGAGGUACUCGGUGACUGAUGUUGCUCGACCAUGUUGCUAUCUUUUUAUAGCCAGCACCACUUUUUGUCUCAUACACAAUACCCAUUAUUUUAUAGACAUUAUGUGCAAUCUUAUGGUUAUCGUCUCACCUCUGAAAUCAGCCAGUUUUCCGUCUCGAUCAACAAUAUCUUAGUUUGAGAUUUUGUAUUGCUCGUACGGCGAUUGGUAGAUAAAUGACGUGAGAUGGCAACUCAACAAUCUUAUAUCCUGGUAGUACACUUGGAAAAAAUUCAUGAAUAGUUUGAACUCUGUGUUCAUUAAUGUAAGCGCCUGAUGUAAUGUUGCACUCAGCUCUCAGAGCAUUGAGUUUUAAUAUCUUCACUGGUAAAUCUGAUGAGUGAGUUUUAUGUGGUGUCAGCUUUCGGUUUGUUAAUCCUAGUAGUGUGCCAAUAGAAUCUUGGGGUGUAACAUUUACAAAUUGAUCACAUUUAAUUUCACUUCUCAAUUCAUUAUUAUUGGCUCUUAUGCUGAUGCUGAGUCUUUGUAAUUUCUUUUGAAUGUAUUUUUCAAAGUCAGUGAUUUCGUUACUUCCUGUUGGUAUUGUCAAGACUCUCUCUUCAACAGUUUCAUAUUUUCCAGAUUCUAUAUUUUUACUCAUUAUAUUAUUAUCUUCAGUUACCGAGACAUUGUCAUCUAUAACGUAAACCGUUUUUUUUCACGACGGAGACGUGAAACAAACCCGGAGUCGUAUGUGGUCACCCAAGUGAAUAAAAAAAAUUACAAAUAACAAUAAUAAUUAUUAAUAAAAAUAAUAAAUAAGUAUAAACGAACUAAAGAUGUGCCUGGACCAGCUCCUCAGGCUGGGUUAGUGCACAAGGGCGCCAAUCCGUUUUUACAAAACGGACAAAACUAAUAACGAUCAGGGGAGAGAUCACGGGGCAAAAUCCUGAGCGAGAAUGCAUGCACCAAGCGGAAUGACAACCAAACAAAUUUAUAAUGAAUAAAAAAAUAAUAAUAAGGAAUAAUUAUUACUAAAUAUAUCCAGGAAACAAACAAAUAAAUAUGGGCUAUCACUGGGUUCCUUUUACUAAAUUACUCAAUUCAAAAUAUAUUUAAAUAGACUCAACAAAUGGUUACAAUAAUAAUCAAUUCAAUUCAAAUAAUAUUAUUAAAUUAUCCACUGGGGAAACCAAAUUACAAAUUACAAACUUUUACCCAAUAUAAUUAGUAUGCUUAAUUCUUCAUAAUAAAAUUGUAUUAAAUAAUAAUACUAAUCUUUUCUUAAUUUAAAUUAUUUACUCUGGGGAGAGAAAGACCCAGGUACUCAAUAUAUGUGGCAACACUGGAUUGCAUACCAUUAAAUUAGAAAAUAAAUUUUACCCAGAGAAAUAAUAUUAAAUAUUCAACUAUACUUUUAGAAUAACAUAUGAAAUACUAGUGUAAGACAAGGAGCCACACUUGCUAUCCUUGUCUAAUCCUUCAAGGAAUUCGCUCGACGCGUCUAUGUACAUGGAACGUACGCCGAAUGAAUUCAACUUAUUAUAAUAAUAUAACUCAGUGUAAAUUUGCUAUGAAAUAAAUACCACAAUCAACUCUACUGAAGGACCAGCGAUAGCCGAUGCAACAAAUGAUAACACAAUUGACUUACCGGCGUUGACAAAAAUUACUUCUGGAUCUAUUCAAUCAUACGAUAUUCAAACUAUACUUUUGACUCAAUAUAAUAAAAAAACUAAUUAUUCAAAUUAAACAAACUUUAACUUUAUGAUUAUUUCAUUAAGGCAACUGGGCCAGAACAAUCUACUCAGAAAAAAAUCACGGACAACAACACGUCCUACCUUCACAAAAUCCCGGUCCUCUCUCCCCAUAUCUUUCCUUGAUUUUCCCGAGGGAUCCCGACCCAAAAUUAUAAAUUAAAAUAAAAUAUUUAAAAUUGUCACACGACCUGAGUUAUAUCAUAAUAAUAAAUUAAAUAAUAUUUCCUAUCAAUAAACACAAACAUAAUCGGUACUAUCUCUUUCAAAUAAUAAAAUAAUAAUUAAUUUAGGGCACCACGUGGCUGGAUAAAAAUAUCGAUUUUUAUCCCCACUAUAUCGAUUUACUCUCCCUUUGGUCGAUAUUUUUAUCUACAACAUACGCGCACGUGUGCUACUAACUGAAAUAAAAAUAUCGAUUAAGUACAUAAAUUCAAAAUAAUUAUCAAAACAUAUAUAUAAACAUAAUAAACAAUAAUAUCAAUAAAUCCAUAAUUAAAUCAUACUAAAAUAAUAGAUCAAAAUAAUGUAAAUAUUUGAAUAAUAAUAAUAAAUUAUAAUAAAUAAAUGCGCCUGAUUUGAGCUAGAAAGUGUUGUCAAACUCACGGCGAGAUGGAAAAGCGCGCGCAGCGAUUCACGUUUGAAUCACUACGUGACAACUUUAUUCGGAAACGGAAGCUAUCAUUAGCUUUUUAUGCUAAUCAACGGUGAGUACACACGAAGGAAUCGAUCCUUGCGAAUUUCCAACCACUAAGACAUUUGAUAAAAUUGAUCAUCCAUUAAAUUAACGACUUGUUUGUCACAAACUUGUCCUUGAUUUUUAUAAAAUUUAAUAGCUUACCUAAAUUAACUUUUAUAUCAAUUUUUUAAUUACUUCCAAAUAACAAUACAGUUACUUUGUCAUUUUUUGCUAGAGUAAAAUAAAUUUAGAACAGUAAGCUUUCUACAUGAAAAAUAAGUGUUUAUUAAUUGUCAGGUGUUAUGAUGAGAAAAUGUCCGUGAGUGUGAUUAAUAACAUUGAUAGAUAUGUUAUGACACCAAAGUCUACGAAAUUUCAGACUAAGAAAUAAAAAUGCAUGAUAAGUAUGUUUGAUAAAAAUAAUGAAUUUUUUCUUUCUUAUAUAGAAAAUGUAAUCUGCGUCAAGGUAUGAAAGAUGGUUUCCGACUUCAAGUACUAUAAGCCCUCACCUCGGUCUAGGCAAUCAAAUUUACCUUUGUUUAAAAUUAUUUUAUUUUAGCUCAUGCCACGUAGUAUGCUAUUCCAACAUAUCUCCACUAUAAAUUCAAAUUCCUAAUCUAUUUAGUGGAAAAAAAAUUGUGCAUUUUUCAUACAAAUGAGCAAAUCUAACAAAUUUUUGUAGACGCUACUCUCCCAACCAGUAGAAACCAAUAUUUUAAGUGUCAGGUACAAAUCUGGCAACAAAAAUAAUAUAUGGUAUGUUAUCCUAAUCUCUGUGUUCGUAAUCCUGACCUUUAUUUCCAGUAAGUAAUCCCAUUCGAGUUGAAUGUCUACUUCUUUGUCUGUUAUUAAUAUGGACUAAACUACAUAAACUAAUGUUUUCACCCCAAUAUUCGAAAAUCGAAUUCUUAUCAUACGUCAUCGAUUUGAACUCCUAGAAAACAAUUCUGACCAUUUUGAUAGUGAUGUACGAUUGUAUGUAUGCAUGUAUUUAUGUAUGUGAGUAUGCAUGUGUGGGUGUAUUUAUGUCUAUAGAUGUGAACUCUCCAUAUUUUGUUAAUGAAUCAAUCAAUUGAGAUGAUUUUUGCGACAAUCGAAAAAGUUUGCUGGCCCUUAACUUUCCUAAAAAUUUCAGAUGCAUGUUUACUUUGUUCAAGAGAUGUCGAUGGCGAAAAAAAUGUUAAGAAAUGGUUAUUUACAAAAAUCUUUGAAACAACUGAACCACUCAUUUUCUAAAUUUUAUUAGCUUUAGAACUCAAUAAAAUGCACUGAUCACUACAUUGAACGUUAAUUAAUUCAGAAGAUAUCGACGAACGUAAGCUUAAAAAAUAACGAUUAGGUCAUUUUUCCCGGUAAUACCAUUAUGUAAUGUACUGAAAUGUGUUCAAAAUAAUACCAUCUCUUUAUUUUCAUGAUUUUUCUCAGUCUUCACGUAAUAUUAUGCCUGUCUUUCUUUAGUCAAAAUAAUAUUACCAACAAAGAUAUGGAAAGAGCAUUUCUCGUAUACUUUAUACAUUCACCCUCUGAUCUGUGUCAAAAUUCAUUUGAAUCCUUAUUUUGAUUACUUACCUUGAUUCCUACUAGAAUCCAUUAAUUUCAUUGAACAUAAUCGUAAAUGAGAAUUUUAAGAACCCUUGUUCGUAAUUAUUUUCAAUUCUUAAGCGCUUACUACACUUUCUGUCUCUUGUUAAUGUAUGUAUACGGCUAUUCUGGUCUCUUUCUAUAAUAUGUACAGCAUGAAUGUGGAUGAUAAAAUUAUAAAAUUUGAAAAAUUUUUGGUACAUGAGACGUUGUUAUGAGGUGUAACUUUUUUAAUGCUGGACGAAAUAAUUUAUUUCAAGUUGCAAUCAUGAGUGAGUCAUUUACUUAUACGAUGUAUCUUAGUUUAUUUUAAAUCAAAAUUCAAUAGAUUUUUUUUUAUUCUCCCCUUUACGUUGUUCGGUGCAUCGGCGUGAGACACGACCACGUCUCUUGAAUAAAAACCUGUUUUAUUUUUGUCCAACUCAAAUAAAUUAGAAUUCUUCGCUCAAAUAGUAAAUUAUCUUUCUAGUUGUCCGGCAAAUCGUUUUUUAAACUAGAUGUUAGGCCUUGAGUUAAUCAAUACUUGGAAAAAACAACCUCAAGUGUUGUAUCGUAAAUGCCUCGAUGCAGAUCCUAGUUCCGUUUGAUGUUUAGAGACAAAGAGAGGAAAGGGAUCUUUAGAAUGAUACUAUUAUGAUUUAGAGCUUAAUUUUUAUUCGGAAAAUUUUAUUUUUAUUGUUGAAGUAUAGUUACCAGAGAUAACGGUAAGAAAUAUGUAAUUUAUUAUUCUAUGAUUGUUUCAAAAUCCGGAUACAUUUCAAAUCAUAUAGAUAAUGUGAUUCCACAAUAUACAUAAUGGAUUACUUCGGCAUAAAGAAUUACGACUCGUGAAAUUUUAAUAAUUCACACGAACAACGUUGAAUAGUGAUCUCCGUCUUCCAUUAUAAUUAUCUUCCACCACUGGCCAAUGUAGAUCGAUUUUAAUAUAUAUCGGAGCCUUUAAACUAUGGGAAUUAUAAGUUUGAACAACAUUAUCAAUUGAUGGACGAGCUACCUCACGGAAGUAAGUAAUAUGCGUAGUGUAGUUAUUCAUCGUGGUGGUUGUAGAUGGUUUUGAUUCAUCUUUCUGAAUUUCUUGUUUUAAUAAAACAACUUUUGGCAGAUCACUCACAUCGUUAAAACCAGUUUCAUCUUCAAAAGGUUGUAAUCUCCAAUGAUUUUUAUCUUGACAAUAUUCUACGGACUUUUCAAAACUCUUAUUCGUCAACAAAUCUAGGUCAUUGUCGUUCACUAUUAAUUCAAGUUUCCAUACUGCUGGCAUAUAUCCAAAAGGAACCAGUAAGGGUUCAAAACUUGGACAUCUCGGAUCAAACGGAACUGGCUUACAAUUACAAGUUGGCGUGCUUGUUGGAGCUUCUCCUUUGUUCUUUGUUAUAAUUCGCCAAGAAUGACCCUGAUCCGUUAAUAAAAUGAUGCA